rnacentral:rRNA from 1 species
UACGUAGGGCGCAAGCGUUGUCCGGAAUUAUUGGGCGUAAAGAGCUCGUAGGCGGCCAGUUGCGUCUGCUGUGAAAUCCCGGGGCUCAACCCCGGGCGUGCAGUGGAUACGGGCAGGCUUGAGUUCGGUAGGGGAGACUGGAAUUCCUGGUGUAGCGGUGAAAUGCGCAGAUAUCAGGAGGAACACCGGUGGCGAAGGCGGGUCUCUGGGCCGAUACUGACGCUGAGGAGCGAAAGCGUGGGGAGCGAACAGG